rnacentral:rRNA from 1 species
AAGCGUACACGGUGGAUGCCUUGGCAGUCAGAGGCGAUGAAGGACGUGGUAAUCUGCGAUAAGCGUUGGGGAGCUGAUAAACAAGCUUUGAUCCAGCGAUUUCCGAAUGGGGAAACCCACCAACAUAAGUUGGUAUUCCUUACCUGAAUACAU